rnacentral:rRNA from 1 species
UUGUCCAGGCAAAUCCGGAUAAUCAAGGCUGAGGUGUGAUGACGAGGCACUACGGUGCUGAAGUAACAAAUGCCCUGCUUCCAGGAAAAGCCUCUAAGCAUCAGGUAACAUCAAAUCGUACCCCAAACCGACACAGGUGGUCAGGUAGAGAAUACCAAGGCGCUUGAGAGAACUCGGGUGAAGGAACUAGGCAAAAUGGUGCCGUAACUUCGGGAGAAGGCACGCUGGUGUGUAGGUGAAGUCCCUGCGGAUGGAGCUGAGACCAGUCGAAGAUACCAGCUGGCUGCAACUGUUUAUUAAAAAACACAGCACUGUGCAAACACGAAAGUGGACGUAUACGGUGUGACGCCUGCCCG